AACGAACGCUGGCGGCAGGCUUAACACAUGCAAGUCGAACGCAUCCUUCGGGGUGAGUGGCAGACGGGUGAGUAACGCGUGGGAAUCUACCCUGAUCUGCGGGAUAGCUCCGGGAAACUGGAAUUAAUACCGCAUAUGUCCUGAGGGACAAAGAUUCAUCGGUUCAGGAUGAGCCCGCGUCCGAUUAGCUAGUUGGUGGGGUAAAGGCCUACCAAGGCGACGAUCGGUAGCUGGUCUAAGAGGAUGAUCAGCCACAUUGGGACUAAGACACGGCCCAAACUCCUACGGGAGGCGGCAGUGGGGAAUAUUGGACAAUGGGCGCAAGCCUGAUCCAGCCAUGCCGCGUGAGUGAUGAAGGUCUUAGGAUUGUAAAGCUCUUUCACCGGGGACGAUAAUGACGGUACCCGGAGAAGAAGCCCCGGCUAACUUCGUGCCAGCCGCCGCAGUAA
rnacentral:rRNA from 1 species